UGAGCCGGCCGGGCGGCCGCGGCAUCGGCGACGAUGUCGAGGAAAGUCCGGACUCCACAGGGCACGGUGGUGGCUAACGGCCACCCACGGCGACGUGCGGGACAGUGCCACAGAAAGCAGACCGCCAGCGGCCCUCGUCGAUGACGAGGGUGCGGGUAAGGGUGAAACGGUGAGGUAAGAGCUCACCAGCGCGGCGGGUGACCGUCGUGGCUCGGUAAACCCCACCGGGAGCAAGACCAAGAGGGCCUUCGGGCCUGCGCUGAUGGGCGGCCCGUCCGAUGUCAGCGGGUAGGUCGCACCGAGGUGCGCAGCGAUGCGCAUCCCAGAUGGAUGGUCGCCCCUCGCCUCCGGGUGAGGACAGAAUCCGGCUUAUAGGCCGGCUCAUUCG
rnacentral:RNase_P_RNA from 1 species